ensembl:lncRNA PROX1-AS1 PROX1 antisense RNA 1
UGUCAUUUUUUCCACCAUUAUACAUGGUUUAUGAUGGUGGAGAUGUGGAAUAUGGAUAACUAAUCUUUUACAUAUGUAGGUAACUGCACUGAGAGGUGCCAUGUCAGACUGAUGAAUACGAAAGAUGGUGCCUCACCCAGAUAUCCUGGACAUUGAUCUGGAGGUGGUGACUAAAUGGGACUUAGGGUGUACCCCUUGGCAUGGGGUGAGUGUGUUCUGUGAGAGGAAGAGUGAAAUGAACAUUUGGUGUUCAGAAGGGCAACCUAUGGCAAGAGACUUUCAGUAUUCACCAUUUUUGAGUCUCUCCUUGGGCACGUAGGAAGGUUACAUCUUCCAGGUGACCCUGCAGUUAGAUGGGCCAAUGGAAUGUGAGAAGAAGCAAUGACUGUCACUUGUAGAACAAGCGUUUUAAACUUGGUGUGUCUUCUCUGUAUUUUCUCCCAUCUGAACAGCUGGAGGCAAAGGAUGCCAAGAUGGGAAAGCCACAUAAUGGAAGGAUCCUGGAUUUCAGAGCUGUCACUUGGAGGAGGGGCACCCAGUGAAGGUGUCUUAUCUAACCCACACCAUAUCUUCAUGAAGUGGCCAUAUGGAUUUGAUCCCUAUCCUUCAGAGGUGCUCAGCCUAAGGGAACACGGAUAGUAGAUUAAGCACUGACCAG